CAAGCCCAUCCACAUACUGGGCCAGGAUGGCCCACCUUCUUGGCUGAGUCGUUUCUCUCUGCUACGGAGUGCAGCGGAUGAAAUCUUGUCGCCGGCGAAGUAGAGAUAAAACGGCGGAAUAGUCGAUGCUCGGCUUUAUAUGGAUCCAUAGAGUAUUUGAUCUGUCUACCUGCUCGUGGAGGGGUUAACAGUUCUUGCUAAGGAAUUGACAUCUAAGGAGCGAGAGCAAGUUACUUCACUCAUUUAAACUCCACUACGUACUAAGAAUUGACUUUGUUGUGCACCUUACAAUGCCAGUACCAUAUUGCAUAACUUUUGCAGUGCAAGGUCCUCUGCCAUAUCAUUUUCACAUUUUACUUUCUUUUCUUCUUCUUCUUCUUUUUUUUGCCUGGACUGUAACUGCUGCAGUGGCAGUGCUUUGCCAAGUAUCUGGGUCCAGUUUUGUCAUGAAAUGCAUCUCAUGACUUAAUAUCCAGCGCAGAAGGACUAAAG